rnacentral:rRNA from 1 species
UACGUAGGGUGCGAGCGUUAAUCGGAAUUACUGGGCGUAAAGCGUGCGCAGGCGGUUCUGAAAGUCAGCUGUGAAAGCCCCGGGCUUAACCUGGGAAUUGCGGUUGAAACUACAGGGCUAGAAUCUGGCAGAGGGGGGUGGAAUUCCACGUGUAGCAGUGAAAUGCGUAGAGAUGUGGAGGAACACCGAUGGCGAAGGCAGCCCCCCUGGGCUGAGAUUGACGCUCAGGCACGAAAGCGUGGGGAGCAAACAGG